GUUUUUUUAAGUAAAAAAAAAUAGUAAAAGGGUUUAGGUAGAUCCAAGCGAUAAAGAGGUGGCACAUUUCAUAUUCUGAAAACUAUUUUAUAAACUCUUCUUCACCCUCUUGUUAUAUUUUUCUUGUUGGGGUCAGAAACUUGUGACUACUAAUACUAUGACUACAUCAAGGCGUGUGUCAGACAGGAAAGUAGCAAGAUUUGAAAGAAAGCUUAUGAAGAAAGGAUCUGAAAAGAAAGGAUGGGAUUUUAACUACCUAAUUGGUCCAAUUCUGAUUGGUUUCUUGGUCUUUGUUCUUGCUGGAUUAUGUUUGUUUCAGAUCAUUAGGAGGACAACUGCUGCAAGUGGGACUGCCUAAAGGAGGAUGAGAAUUUCUGAAGAGCUUAUAUUGUCACAAAUUAGUAUUUUCAAACAAAAUAAAAUAAGUGUAUAAAAAAUAAAAUACCAUAUAGUUCAUGAUUCAUCACAUUUGAGUUGAUGGAUUGAAAUGAGAAUUUGGUUUAAUUAAUAGAAGAAUAAUGAAUAUUCAGUUUCUUGCAGUGUGA